rnacentral:lncRNA from 1 species
ACCUCCCCAACUCAUCCCCUAUUCACUGUGGCAUGCAGAUAUUGUAACCUAAUUGUCUUUCUUUUAAAAGGUAUCUCUGAAUUCAAAUUCCUAAGAGAAUAUUUCCUUGAGACUUUUGAACUUCAUAUAGAUUGUGUGUCCCCUUUUGUAAGAUUUCAUGCAACAACUUCAUUUGGCUUCAGCUGGGAGUGCAAUUAAUGAGUUAGGAGCUAGACGUGAGCAGUGGAAGGAAUGCCCCUGUAGUCAACAAAACCAGCCCACAUCUUCCUCCGACUAGAUGUUAUAGCCUACAGAACUUUCUCUCAGGAGAUGCAAGCCAAGUCCAGAGAGAAGGUGUUGUCAGUUUAACCUCUAGAUAGUCAUAUGGCUUUUAACAUAAAUUAGCAUUUCUGUUACAGCCCCAACCCCACUCAGCAAGAAAGGCUGCCAUGGUGGUUCUGGUACAAAUCUGUCUUCAUUCCAGAGAACUUUGGUGAUCCUUUAGAACAAGUAUCUGAGUUUUCCCAUCUUCACUCUGAAGACCACAGAUGUUGAAUAUAUUAAUUCCUCCUUCCACAUUUCCAGCAACUGGUCAAGCUGGGAUUCAAAUACAGAUUAAUGGAAUCCCUCCUGCAGUUAUGUAUUCCAUCUAUAUUGAAAAGAUUCACCUUCUGAUACUGUUCCCUCUACACAUUAAAGUCCACCCAAACACUAAGGUGAAGUCCUUGUCAAUUUGUAAGUAAGACUGUUGAAGGUAAGGAAUUUUAUAAGAAAAGAAAGAUGGAAAGAGCUAUGUCAAAAUGUUUCUAGACUCACUAAAAUAAAACAAUAAUGAAGAACA